rnacentral:rRNA from 1 species
CCUACGGGAGGCAGCAGUGGGGAAUAUUGCACAAUGGGGGAAACCCUGAUGCAGCGACGCCGCGUGAGUGAAGAAGUAUUUCGGUAUGUAAAGCUCUAUCAGCAGGGAAGAAAAUGACGGUACCUGACUAAGAAGCCACGGCUAACUACGUGCCAGCAGCCGCGGUAAUACGUAGGGGGCAAGCGUUAUCCGGAUUUACUGGGUGUAAAGGGAGCGUAGACGGCCCGACAAGUCAGAAGUGAAAGCCCAGGGCUCAACCCUGGGACGGCUUUUGAAACGGCCGGGCUGGAGUGCAGGAGAGGUCGGCGGACUUCCUCGUGUAGCGGUGACAUUCGUUGAUAUUAGGAGGAGCACCAGUGGCGACGGCGGCUUACUGGACUGUAACUGACGUUGAGGCUCGAAAGCGUGGGGAGCAAACAGGAUUAGAUACCCUUGUAGUC